ACGGCUCAGUAACACGUAGCCAACCUGCCCUUAGGUCAGAUAUAACCUCGGGAAACUGAGGAUAAGAUCUGAUAGGAGAUAUUUUCUGGAAUGAAUCUUCUCUGAAACUUACGCCUAAGGAUGGGGCUGCGGCUGAUUAGGUUGUUGGCGGGGUAAAUGCCCACCAAGCCGAUGAUCAGUAAGGGCUCUUAGCGGAGAGGCCCUGAGAAGGAAUCUGAGACACAUAUUCCUAGCUUUACGGAGCGCAGCAAGUAGGAAUCUUCUGCAAUGCACGCAAGUGUGACAGAGCGAGUCAGAGUGUUUUUCUUAAUAGAAAAACUUUUGUUUGUUGUAAAAAGACAGACGAAUAAGGACUGGGAAAGACCGGUGCCAGCCGCCGCGGUAAUACCGGCGGUCCGAGUCGCAGCCAUGAUUAUUGGGUCUAAAACAUCCGUAGCUUGUUUAGUAAGUUUCUUGUGAAAUCUUAUCUCUUAAGGGUAAGGCGUGCAAGAAAUACUGUUAAACUGGAGACUGGAAGAAGUAAGAAGUACGAUUGAGGUAGUGGUAAAAUAUGUUCAUCUUAAUCGGACUAACAAUAGCGAAGGCAUCUUACUAGUACAGAUCUGACGGUGAGGGAUGAAGGCUAGGGUCGCAAAACGGAUUAGAUACCCGUGUAGUCCUAGCAGUAAACACUGCUCACUAAACAUUAGGAUCUCUUCGAGAGAUUUUAGUGCUGUAGGGAAGCCGAAGAGUGAGCUACCUGGGAAGUAUAGCCGCAAGGCCGAAAACUUAAAGGAAUUGGCGGGGGAGCAC
rnacentral:rRNA from 1 species